rnacentral:rRNA from 1 species
UACGUAGGGUGCGAGCGUUAAUCGGAAUUACUGGGCGUAAAGCGUGCGCAGGCGGUUUUGUAAGCCAGGUGUGAAAUCCCCGGGCUCAACCUGGGAAUGGCAUUUGGGACUGCAAGGCUGGAGUGCGGCAGAGGGAGACUGGAAUUCCUGGUGUAGCAGUGAAAUGCGUAGAUAUCAGGAGGAACACCGAUGGCGAAGGCAGGUCUCUGGGCUGACACUGACGCUCAUGCACGAAAGCGUGGGGAGCAAACAGG